rnacentral:rRNA from 2 species
ACCAGAGACAACUCUCAACAACGGAUAUCUUGGCUCUC